AGAUUAUCGUUACCGGCUAGACCAUCCAUGACAUUGGGACCGACAGUGCCAUACAAAUAGUCUGCCGAAGCAGUGGCCUGUUGGAGGCGAGCGAGAACUGCGUUGAAAUCCCAGCUCCCUGAGCCAUCGGAAAAAUUGAUCGUCUCUAUUAAGCUCUGGCCACUUGCGCCGCUAGCCUGAAAAUAGUUUCCUACGGUGAUUCGGUCUGUCGUGGGUUGCCCGCCGGCAUCGACAAUCUGAAGUGCCAAAUUGGUCGCUUCGCGAGUUAGCUUGACACGACUCGACUGCACGCCGUUUAGAAACACAAUCGCAUCGGCUGUACCGGAAGCAUCGUAAAUAAUGUCAGCGCCAUCCCCAAGCUGGAACCGGUACUGGUCAGAUCCACCGCCGCCGCG
rnacentral:misc_RNA from 1 species